AUUGAGCGCUGGCGGCAGGCUUAACACAUGCAAGUCGAGCGGGGUGAUGGUGCUUGCACUAUCACUUAGCGGCGGACGGGUGAGUAAUGCCUAGGAAUCUGCCUAUUAGUGGGGGACAACAUCACGAAAGGGAUGCUAAUACCGCAUACGUCCUACGGGAGAAAGCAGGGGAUCACUUGUGACCUUGCGCUAAUAGAUGAGCCUAAGUCGGAUUAGCUAGUUGGUGGGGUAAAGGCCUACCAAGGAGACGAUCUGUAGCGGGUCUGAGGGGAUGAUCCGCCACACUGGGACUGAGACACGGCCCAGACUCCUACGGGAGGCAGCAGUGGGGAAUAUUGGACAAUGGGGGGAACCCUGAUCCAGCCAUGCCGCGUGUGUGAAGAAGGCCUUAUGGUUGUAAAGCACUUUAAGCGAGGAGGAGGCUCUUUUGGUUAAUACCCAAGAUGAGUGGACGUUACUCGCAGAAUAAGCACCGGCUAACUCUGUGCCAGCCGCCGCCGUAA
rnacentral:rRNA from 1 species